UGCAUACAUACUGUCACAAGCGUUUGAAUUUCUGUAUCUUUCAAUUUUCAACGCGUUUGAUUUUAACGAAAAGAAACCUUUCUGGGCGUUUAACAUUUUUAUUUACGUGUUGUGCCUGGUGCUUGGGUGUUCAUUUUUAUAAUUCAGUUUUACAAGCACUGAUUUACGAGAUGGCUUACUGUGCUGGUCAUGUUUGCGGAACAACACGUUCGCAAAACAAUAGAACAGCGCGAACUCGUCCAAAUAUACGCCCAACAUCUUUCAUCACAGUUCAUAGCCGUUUCAUGAUCACGAGGUACACCAAGCUUAGUUUUAUUGCCAACAGACCUUAGUUCAUUAGGCAGAAGAUUAGGUUCAGAGAGCCAGCUAACAUCAUCGAAUUCAACGCACUACAGGCAUGGAGAACAAUUUAGUUCUGAUGACACACAUCACACCGUUCAGCUCUUUCCAAUGCAUCGGUUUUGUUGAAUAAACUCAACCACCUAUCGUAUAUGCUACAAGUAAAAUACUUCACUACUUACCAAGGAAGACACAAAUUUUUGUGUUUUAAAUUCCAUCUCUAUUUCAAUAAACCUGUUAUAUCUGUUCCAGUUGGAGCGUCUGAUAGAAUAAAAAUCUUUUUUAGGAGCAGCGGAAAUCUUGUCAAGACAACAUCUGGACAACAUGAAUUAUUCAUCGCUGCUUUAUGAACACGAGCCACACAGCUCGGUUUCAUUGCCAACGAGCCGCAGUUCAUGAUGCAGACCAUUGAAGACCCAGCUAGCAUCAUGCAUUCUAGGCGGGAAAACACAAUCUAGUUUAUAUGCCGCUAGUUUCAUUACUUUCGAACCAGACAUCGUCGCCAAUGAUCGUAUCGCAACACGAUGGCAAAGCAGCAGGUUCAUCCAACCCUCAACCGUAGCGUGUACUUCAACAAAUUUCCCAAGAAGCUCUCAUGCUGCAACAAAGAAUCAACGUGCAAAUACCCUGCUAACAUAAACAAAUUCGACGCACUUUUCUUCUGUGAAAGCUUUGAACCACUGCGACUACUAGUUUGAUCUAUUGUGAUGAUUCAAGGCACUUAUAUAAAAUCUAACGCAUGUUUCUUGCUACCGAAUCUGAGCUGCAUCCACCGCACAACCACAAGAUAUACAUCAACAAGUUCGCCAAGUAAUGACAAUGUUUAUCGAUGAAUCAACUGUAACAGUCAAAUUUUACACAAGCAACUUCAGGCAUUUCAGAUAGAAAAGAUAAUCUUGAUAAGUUAAGUCAUAGCUAUCCGAUAUUACAAUCCAAUAUUAGUACUAAUCAGUUUUUGAAAACAUUUUGUAGAUACAAAUCAACAAGGGUCGCCAAUUGUCACGCAACAUGUUUAAAUAGUGGUACAGUAGAUGCACCCACCUGAGCAACAUUAUACACCUCUGUAUAUUUUCCAAACAGCAGUCGGGUUCAUUAAUAAAUAAAAUACAAGGAUUGUCGCGAUUGGUCAUUUCGCCACGCACAACAGUAUAACAGCUGUUCUCAAUUUUUUUAUUUAAUGAUAUAUUUGUUUUUCUUUUUUUUUUGUAUAUUUUUCUUAAAUUAUGUACAUUUUUAUUGCCUGUUAAGACCAUGGCGCAUCAACUUAUGAAUGACAAUGUAAAGGUAAUAAAUUAAUAUAGUUAGAAAACUACGAUCAGUUCGCACAACAGAAUAUAAAAUACUAUAGUGUUUAAAAAUGUAAUUAUGAAAGAGAUUUAUAAAAUACUAAAUUAUUUAAAAAAUAAAAACUAUU